CACAUAAAAAUUAUCUCAAUACUGAAACGAGGAGGCAUAUGAAAAUAUGCAAUCUACUUUUAUCUUUAUUUGAAAAUUAGAUUGAUAUCAUUGUUCUCCAUUUUUCAGAUGAUGGUUUUGACAAAUUUGGUUCAUCUUCAUUUUCAGAUAUAUCCAAAAGAGGAAAGAUGUUGCAGCCAUCAUCUUGCUUCUCUCUCUCUCUCAGCGCAAAAGUGAUAUAUAUACUCUUUUCUUCUCUUCUUCUCUCUUGCUUCUUCAUCAUUCUCACGAGAGCAGAGCAAGAUGAUGCGAGUUUUGAGGUCUGGUUGGUGGUCGUCUUUGAGGCGGUGGGAAACGAAUCUGCAGGUUAAUUUUCCUUUUUGGCUCUCUCUCUCUCUCUCUCUCUGUGGUAGAUCUGCAAUUUCUCCUUUUAUUUUACUUACCCCCAUGAUUGUUUGGCAAUGAACAUGAAUUAAGCAAUAGUGUGGUCAUAAAUUUAUCCCUUUAUCCCUUUAUCACUAUGUGGUUAUUUCUCUAACUUGGCCGUCUUAUCUUUUUGUGCCGAUGCCUUGUCAUAAUAUUUGCUUCGACAGCUCUAACUGCUCCAAAUGCAGCUUCAUCGUCUUCUGCUAGUUAGCGUCACCAUAGUCAGGCUGGUGCGCUCUGAUCCUCAUGAUGUAGUCGCAGGAAUCGGUGAAGUCAUGCAUGUCCAUAGUUGGAAAUUCCAGCUUUUCUGGCGGGUGAAAGAACCCCCUCAGGGUACCAUAUUAUAGCAAAACAAAAAUAACCAAUACUAAAUCCAGCCUACCAUAUUAAAUAACAAUAUUGCCGACAGAAAAAAAACAAUAUUGAAAUUCUACCUUUUUCUUGAACAAUUGAAAUUCUGCCAUAUACAGUACUAAUUCAAACAAUAGUCGAGCGAGCCUCGACCAAAUUGAUAAAGAAUAUCUCUCUAAAACCUUCGCUUUCUCUCUAUAAAGUUACAAACUCAAAUCGUCGUUCUCCGACUCCGGCGGCUUGUCGGAGUCGGGUUUAAUCCUUUUGUGAAUCAUGUGUUACAAUCGGUUGUUGUCGGUGCAUGCCCUUUCUAGUCGUUUUAGAUGAGAUCAAUUUUGUUGAAACUCCAGUCUCGGUUGGAUGAUUCUGCAUGUUCGAUUCGAGUUCUCUUUGUAUCGUCUUUGUAUCGAUCUUCUGCCUUUCAGUUGAAUACAAAGUCGAUUGGAUUGGCUCCUUGUCAUUUACCUUCAGAUCUGAUCGAGAUCUACUCUAUCGUCAAGCUUCUUUGUGGCGUUGCAUGUCGUGUUAUCCGACUCCGUCUCUUCCGGUCAAGCCUCGGAACAGUCCGUUUGUUCUGUCUUGCCGGUGACUGAAGCUGUGUUCUUUGAAUUGCUGGGCUAUUCACUAUAGGAGGUCCUUCACGGUGGUGGUGACUCCAUCGUUUAUCUUUCACAAAGGUUCUUCUUUGAAUUGACAUGCAUAUUGUUCUAAGAUGACUGGGUUUCUUUUGAUUUUCAUCUAUUUGACUUAGGUUUGGGUUUUGUAGUCUUUUAGUUUGAUUGUUUUUCAAGUUGAUUCCCUUGUUUGGGCUUAUGAUUCUGGGGACAGUUGUGUUUGUCCGCCAACCUUGUUUCCGGGAUUUCUUAAAUCGCCGGCCUAUGUAAUCUGUUCAAGUUAAUAUAAUCAAAUCUUCAGUGUGAAAAAAAAAAACAGUACUAAUUAAAACGUAACUAUUCAUUUUGUUUAUAACAUAUUUAUUGUAAUAAAUUAUGAUGUCGAGAGGGAUUCUUGUAGUAGUAGUAGUACCAGAAAAGGAGCAAUGUACUGAUUUUUAAAAAGUGUACUUGCGGCGAUGUGAUUGGGUCCUACCACAUGGCAGCUUAAUAAUUCUCGACCUUCCGAUUAACCAAUGUCGAAACACACAAAGGUCGUAUAAAUAAAGUACAACCACCUUGAAGAGGUUUUUCAAUACAAAACAUACAAAUUUAAUAAAUUGUGUGUACUCUUUUAGCCUAAGCUAGAUGGAGUACAAGAGUUCCAUAACGAGGAGUACAAAUAUCUCUCUUGAAGUCUCGUGUAGUACAUCAGAAAACACACACGGUUAGAAUAUCUAUUUAAACCUUAUGUCAUUUAGAAUAACAACACCACCAAAUAAACUCAUGGAACUUGCCAAGUUCAAAGGUCUAACUCUGUAUUCAUGAAGUGGAGCUGAAAGAAGCAAUGGCGUCCAUCUCUUGGCGUAAGAGAAGUGCGUCGAUGAAGGUGUCCAGAUUCUCUCCUUCCAUCAUAUCUUCAAUAGCGUGGUGAGUGAUUCCCACACGAUGAUCCGUGACUCUCCCUUGUGGAAAAUUGUAUGUACGGAUGCGUCCGGAUCGGUCUCCACUGCCAAUCUGUUAACGGGAUUACACAUCGAUCAGCUAAUACAGAAAAUGAUGUAAAAAUGACUGAAUACAUUAGAAGAAAAAUGAGUGUUAAUCACAUACGUACCUGUUCUGACCGUAGCUUUGAACGGCUGCUCUGUAAUCUCAACCUUUCAAUCUCAUAGAGCUUUGCGCAGAGUACUUUAAGUGCUUUGGCUUUGUUCUGUUAUAAAUAAAAAAAGAGUGGACAUUUAUUUAUUAA